rnacentral:rRNA from 1 species
UUGAACGCUGGCGGAAUGCUUUACACAUGCAAGUCGAACGGCAGCACGGGGGCAACCCUGGUGGCGAGUGGCGAACGGGUGAGUAACACAUCGGAACGCGUCCUGUAAUGGGGGAUAACCUGGCGAAAGCCAGGCUAAUACCGCAUACGCCCUGAGGGGGAAAGCGGGGGACCUUCGGGCCUCGCGCGAUUGGAGCGGCUGAUGUCGGAUUAGCUAGUUGGUGGGGUAAAGGCCUACCAAGGCGACGAUCCGUAGCUGGUCUGAGAGGAUGAUCAGCCACACUGGGACUGAGACACGGCCCAGACUCCUACGGGAGGCAGCAGUGGGGAAUUUUGGACAAUGGGCGCAAGCCUGAUCCAGCCAUGCCGCGUGAGUGAAGAAGGCCUUCGGGUUGUAAAGCUCUUUCAGACGGAAAGAAAUCGGGCGCGUGAAUAGCGUGCCUGGAUGACGGUACUGUCAGAAGAAGCACCGGCUAACUACGU